UCUAACUAUCCACUUGCUAGAGCUGCAUGAAUAUAUACAUUUUUCAAAAGUAGUACUAUUCUGCAGUGAAUAGGUAGGCAAGAAGUAUAGUGCAUCACUCAGUAACUAUUUUGAGGAGCCAAGUUGUUUCUUGGAGAAAGCAAGUUUUAUUGCUCUAAUGUGCACUCAGUCAUGAACUUAAGCGUUUAAUAGUUCCUUUUGAGGUGAAGUUGGAAGAAAAAAGGGUAGAGCAACCUUUUAAAUGCAGAUUCUCAUGUGCAUAUGUUAUGAUUCUGGCCCGUCUGCCUGCUCUGCUCUCACUCAUGCAAUCAACUCAUCUGCUUCACCUGUCUGCUGCUGCACUGCUACGCAAUCACCGUCAUGCCACACAAAUGUGGAGCUGCAGUUAUAUACAGCCCUCUGACAGGCAGACGGUGCCAGAUUUUCGAAAACAUUUGUGAGUAGUUUUCCAGCGUUCCUUCCUGACUGAUCUCGUUCUCUGACCUUGCAUUGCCUCACAGAUUUUGCCUUCCUGCCAGCCCCUUGACUGACAGACUGGAGUUCUGGAUUUUGACUCUGUUUUCUGCCUCUGGUUUCAUGCCUCUGCCUGCUCCUUGUCUGACGCCUCUAGCCAUGGAACUCGACUCUGUUUCUGUCCCUGGAUUUACGCCCCAGCCAAGGCACUGGUUUAUUCAGCCUGGGCCCGCCUGGCUCUCAAGUCCACCUGGAAUUAUUGUCAAGAGGACAAUCGCAGCUCUCUCUGUUCCGGUCACAGCUUCAGCUGAUUCCCCUGAGGAUUUGGAUCAGUCGGCAAUCCGACUUCAGUCUGUUGGAUUCUUCCUCAUUAACUGUCUGAAUCACAUCCUCUUCUGGAUUAUGCGCCUCAUUCCCAGACUGAGAAGUGAUUCAUGGAAGCUGAGUGCUGCUCUCCUGCUUUCUGAUCCUGAGUUACUGAAUAAACCUUGUAACUUUUCA